rnacentral:misc_RNA from 1 species
UACCAAGCUAAUAAAGAAUA